rnacentral:rRNA from 1 species
CCUACGGGAGGCAGCAGUGGGGGAUAUUGCACAAUGGGGGGAACCCUGAUGCAGCGACGCCGCGUGGGUGAAGGAGUGCUUCGGCAUGUAAAGCCCUAUCGGCAGGGAAGAAGCAAGACGGUACCUGACUAAGAAGCCCCGGCUAACUACGUGCCAGCAGCCGCGGUAAUACGUAGGGGGCGAGCGUUAUCCGGAUUCACUGGGUGUAAAGGGAGCGUAGACGGCCAUGCAAGCCAGGGGUGAAAGCCCGGGGCCCAACCCCGGGACUGCCCUUGGAACUGUGCGGCUAGAGUGCGGGAGGGGCAGGCGGAAUUCCUGGUGUAGCGGUGAAAUGCGUAGAUAGCAGGAGGAACACCGGCGGCGAAGGCGGCCUGCUGGACUGCGACUGACGUUGAGGCUCGAAAGCGUGGGGAGCGAACAGGAUUAGAUACCCGGGUAGUC